CCUACGGGUGGCAGCAGUGAGGAAUAUUGGUCAAUGGGCGGAAGCCUGAACCAGCCAAGUCGCGUGAGGGAAGAAGGCCCUACGGGUCGUAAACCUCUUUUGCCGGGGAGCAAGGGCGGGGACGUGUCCCGGCCCGGAGAGAACGCGGAGAAAAAGCAUCGGCUAACUCGGGGCCAGCAGCCGCGGUAAUACGGAGGAUGCGAGCGUUAUCCGGAUUGAUGGGGUUUAAGGGGUGCGUAGGCGGGCUUUUAAGUCAGCGGUAAAAAUUCGGGGCCCAACCCCGUCCGGCCGUUGAAACUGGCGGCCUUGCGUGGGCGAGACGUAUGCGGAAUGCGUGGUGUAGCGGU
rnacentral:rRNA from 1 species